rnacentral:rRNA from 1 species
AGUGAACGCUGGCGGUAGGCCUAACACAUGCAAGUCGAACGGCAGCACAGUAAGUGCUUGCUCUUACGGGUGGCGAGUGGCGGACGGGUGAGGAAUACAUCGGAAUCUACUUUUUCGUGGGGGAUAACGUAGGGAAACUUACGCUAAUACCGCAUACGACCUACGGGUGAAAGCAGGGGAUCUUUGGACCUUGCGCGAUUGAAUGAGCCGAUGUCGGAUUAGCUAGUUGGCGGGGUAAAGGCCCACCAAGGGGACGAUCCGUAGCUGGUCUGAGAGGAUGAUCAGCCACACGGGAGCUGAGCAACGCGCCAGACUCCUAGGGGAGGCAGCAGGGGGGAAUAUGGGACAAGGGGCGCAAGCCUGAUCCAGCCAGACCGCGGUGGUGAAGAAGGCCUGCGGGUGGUAAGGCCCUUUUGUUGGGAAAAAAAAGCAGCAGCUUAAACCCCCGCUGUUUGAAGGGAACCCAAAGAAUAGGCACGGCCAACUAUCGG